CUUGAGGGAAGAUUUCCGCUGUGACGUCUCAUGUAUUGCGCGUAUAAAUGCAUCCAGCCACUGCUCCUUCUCCUCUAUGGUCCUGGUGAGGCAAUGAGUGUUGAAGACAAGGAACUACACGUCACUCCCCAAGAUGUGACGGCGAUACUGAGGGCCACUCAUCACCCGGCCACUCAUCAGCUUGGGGGAACACAGCAGCAGGAGAUCCGUCAGCUGUGAGAAGGAAUGACAGUUCCCUGGUGGGAGACACAAGGUCUUCUGCUCCUCCUAGACUCUCCUGGAUCUCGAGGAGCUUCUCAAACUUGUCUAUCUUCUUCAUGGCGUCAUUGGCGUGGUUAGCUGCCGUGGAGACGAGAUGCAGAGCCUCUGUGGGAG